UACGAAGGGGCUAGCGUUGCUCGGAAUCACUGGGCGUAAGCGCACGUAGGCGGGUCUUUAAGUCAGGGUGAAAUCCGUGGAGCUCAACUCCAGAACUGCCUUUGAUACUGAGGAUCUCGAGUCCGGGAGAGGUGAGUGGAACUCCGAGUGUAGAGGUGAAAUUCGUAGAUAUUCGGAAGAACACCAGUGGCGAAGGCGGCUCACUGGCCCGGUACUGACGCUGAGGUGCGAAAGCGUGGGGAGCAAACAGG
rnacentral:rRNA from 1 species